ensembl:lncRNA
CAGUUGGCAGUAAAUGUGGAACGUUGGUCCAAUAAACUUGAAAAAUAAAUCUUGCAAGAAUUGUCGGUGUUCAAGGUCCAAUCAGCAUAUAUGAGGACAACUGUGAAUCUUGAAAAACAUGGCCGCCAUUGGUCGAUCAGUGUUCAGCAGCUAUUAGACAAGGUUAAUGAAGGCCGAUAUUUCUUAAAAUUAUCUUCUUUUUUCUUUGAUUUAGGUUCUUAUAGGAUUGCACAAUAUUAACUAAUAUAUUUUAAUGUCUUUAAGGGCCAUAAACGGGUUGAACCCUGAUAAUUGCUGCUUGUAGCUAUAUUCUGUUUAUUGUUCCUUCCAGAUGGCACAGGGGUGAGUGAACGACCGAGAGGAGGAGUGACAUAUGUAAAUAUUCCCAUCAGCCCAAUGUCCAAAAAGCAGCUGCACUAUAUGGAGCUGGAGCUGCAGGAGCACGGUACCACCGUCAGAGUUCUGCAACCCUUUAGUUCUUCAGAUGGUUCAGGAACUUCAGUGGAAAUGAAAAGGCACCACGAAAUACGCACAAAUUGACAUCACUGCAACAGAGACUGCACACAGAGUGGGUACCCAGCAUGCACUGGGGCGGGAGGCAGGACUUCAGAAAAUGGAACAGUGGAAAAGAGGAGGGGCACCGCAGUGAUGACAUCAUUUAUCACCUUAAUAAUAAUGAUGCCAUUGCUCUUUACCAUGACAACAGUGAUGUGAAGAAAAAGAGAAAAGUGUGUUGGAAAAGUGUCUCUCAGAAGAGAAACAGUGAGGAAUGUUAAGUUCUAAAAGUGCCAAGAUCUUUCCUCACGCUUCUGAUUUGGACCGCAGGUCUGUGUUAAAGGCUUCAACUCCACUUACUCACAGAGUCACAGGCCAAGCGAAAUCAAACUGAACGGGUGGCAUACGUGCCAGAAAAUCUGAUUGAACUGAGGCAGCCGAAGGCCCAGUUUUAUUAGCUGGUGUUGUGUAGCUAUGAGACUGUGAUCAUGUGGGUUUUGUUGUGUGGGUGUGUGUGUGGGUGAGUGUGAGUGUGAUAAUUCGAGCAUUAGAGCUGUGAGGACAGACCGUGUGAACAUGGCUGAUUAUAGAUGAGUCACCACACGCUCAGCUGCCUGCAGCAACAUGUCUCUUGUUAAUUUGCUUUAAUAUUUGCCCUUAAUCAAUUACAUACUCUAUUGUCCCUUAAUAAAGUAGUGGACAUCUCUGACCACGUAUAAGAGCUGCAAACACGGAACAGCAAAACAUUACCUACUGAGCAAAAAACAGACGGAUCCAUAUGAGGCUCACUGUGGACAGAGUAGUAAAAUUCUUGCAUUCUUUUUGCUAUUUUCCUGGUCAUGAAAAUAGCAGCAAUAUUUAUAAUCACAUCUGCAAGUGCCACAAUCGUAUUCCUUAUUUUUGUAUUUGUGGCUAUGGAAAUUGCCAUGUAUCUUCUUUUGAAUGAAUGAAGGGAAAUUGUGCAUAUACAACGUUGGGCAUUAUUAAAUAUUCAGACGAAUUUAACCAGCUUUUGAAUAUUGUAUAUUUCUUCUCUCAUUUUAUCGGCUUUAUACUAUUGUUUUAUAGUACAAUUAAAACUGAAAAUAUAUUUU